CCGAAUUUUAAAUCUACAACAGUGGUCCACCCAUUGUACGAAGUAUUUCCGUAUUUUUUUCUUAUCAAUCAUUAAUAUUAAAUGUAAUUAUUUCGCCCCCACCUUUUCCAUAGUCAAGGUCUGGAGUCGCCCCUGAUCUAUAGGUCGGUAUAAAAUUGGAUUGGUCUAUUGAAUUAAUUUUUAAUCAUUAUAUAUUUAUAUACUACACUAAUAUUAGAUUUCCCAAAAAUUCAACUACCAUAAAAUAUCACUUACAGAUUCGUUAUUAUUUUUUUAAUAAGUAUUGAUUUAAGUAUUACGAGGCUUUAUUUUCCUAAUACCUAUACAGUAUAUGAAUUAAAUUACUUUAGAUUUAUAUCAUUCCUUACCAGAUUUCCAGUGGAAAAGAUGUUUGUUUGACAAAUGGAAGAACCACUCGGCUCAUAUUAUAUACCUAGGUAGGUAGGUAUAUAAUAUGUAUCGGCGAAAAUGCUGCAAACGACGGAAUCAGUUCAUUAGCGAAAUAGGUGGUUUCAAAAAUAUUCUACCUACCUAUUUAAUAUGUAUGUUUUCAUGUAAACGUUUUAUAAAUGAAACAUAUACUUAGGUAGGUACGUCAUAAAACAUAAUAUUAUAGUUUUGUAGCCUAUUGUUUUUUCGUACCUAGUAAUAACACAAAUAUUGAUGUUAUAAAUGCUCCUAUUAUAAUUUGAGUGUUGUGAAUAAUAAAUAAAUAAAAUAUAUUUUCAAAACUAUUUUUAAAUAUCUAUCCGUUAUUAAAAUUUGUAUUUUAUUUACAUUUUGUAUUAUCUAUGAUACAGUCAAGACUACGGGUCAUAUAGAUCUAUAUGGCCGUGGUCAAGACCGUGUCUAUGAUUUUAAAAUCUAUUGAUACUAGACAGUAUCAUAGAGCAAUACUUAUGCUGAUAAGAUAUUAUUAUCGC